GGUAACUGAAAGCGACUACUGCAUCUCUCGUUGCCCCCCUGUUGCCAAGCAACAAUUAAAGUCAGUGUGAAACGGCCUUCAGAGCGUAUCUGGUUUCCGUAAUGUGACAUAUUUCUAAGUAAAACAGGAUAUUAGGGUGGGACAAAAUGAAGGAAGGAAAGUGAUUUGAUCCUUCAGGAUUUGGUUUUAUUGUGCAAAACAUUUUAUAUUAUUGGCUGGAAUGUUGCUCGCCUGCCCACUCGGACAUGGGGACACAAUCACAAAAACUCAGCUGUUUUUGGGGAAGUUUAGGUGUUUAGAUUUUGAUGUAAAAUAAGUGAACAAGGAAUUUUGUGAUUUUUUCUUGUUUUUUGCAUAAGUUGUUGAAUGGAUGCAUUACAUGACUGUGGAAAUGAGCCAGCAAGAGACACACAGACCGAGACAAGCAGAGAGAGAAAGGCAGAGAUGGAGACAAGCAGACUCAGGUCCUCCCUCUGCCACAAACGAAG